rnacentral:rRNA from 1 species
AGCAGCCGCGGUAAUUCCAGCUCCAAUAGCGUAUAUUAAAGUUGUUGCAGCUAAAAAGCUCGUAGUUGAAUUUCGGGGUUCUUCCGUUGGUCAGGCUAACAAGUCUGUACUAGCGUGUAGAAUCUCUACCUUCUGGGGAACCAUCAUGUUAUUAAUUUAGCGUGGUGGGAAACCAGGACCUUUACCUUGAAAAAAUUAGAGUGUUCAAAGCAGGCUUACGUCUGAAUACAUUAGCAUGGAAUAAUAAAAUAGGACGGUGGUCCUGUUUUGUUGGUUUCUGAAUCACCGUAAUGAUUAAUAGGGAUAGUUGGGGGCAUUAGUAUUCAAUUGUCAGAGGUGAAAUUCUUGGAUUUAUUGAAGACUAACUUCUGCGAAAGCAUUUGCCAAGGAUGUUUUCAUUAAUCAAGAACGAAAGUUAGGGGAUCGAAGACGAUCAGAUACCAUCGUAAUCUUAACCAUAAACUAUGCCGACUAGGGAUCGGAUGAUGUUAAGUUUUUAAUUGACUCAUUCGGCGUCUUA